rnacentral:rRNA from 1 species
UACGGGGGGGGCAAGCGUUGUUCGGAAUUACUGGGCGUAAAGGGCGCGUAGGCGGUUCGCUAAGUUGGAUGUGAAAACUCUGGGCUUAACCCAGAGCCUGCAUCCAAAACUGGCAAACUUGAGUACUGGAGGGGAAAGCGGAAUUCCUGGUGUAGCGGUGAAAUGCGUAGAUAUCAGGAGGAACACCGGUGGCGAAGGCGGCUUCUUGGGCCGUUCCUGACGCUGAGGCGCGAAAGCCAGGGGAGCGAACGGG